rnacentral:rRNA from 1 species
GAUGAACGCUGGCGGCGUGCUUAACACAUGCAAGUCGAACGGAAAGGCCCAAGCUUGCUUGGGUACUCGAGUGGCGAACGGGUGAGUAACACGUGGGUGAUCUGCCCUGCACUUCGGGAUAAGCCUGGGGAACUGGGUCUAAUACCGGAUAGGACGAUGGUUUGGAUGCCAUUGUGGAAAGUUUUUUCGGUGUGGGAUGAGCUCGCGGCCUAUCAGCUUGUUGGUGGGGUAAUGGCCUACCAAGGCGUCGACGGGUAGCCGGCCUGAGAGGGUGUACGGCCACAGUGGGAAUGAGAUACGGCCCAGACUCCUACGGGAGGCAGCAGUGGGGAAUAUUGCACAAUGGGCGCAAGCCUGAUGCAGCGACGCCGCGUGGGGGAUGACGGCCUUCGGGUUGUAAACUCCUUUCGCUAGGGACGAAGCGUUUUUGUGACGGUACCUGGAGAAGAAGCACCGGCUAACUACGUG